rnacentral:rRNA from 1 species
UAAGGGAAAAUAAUGAUAAUACCUUACUAAUAGUGUCGUCCAAAUCUGGUGCCAGAAGACUCGGUAAGACCAGAGACGCAAACGUUAAUCAUCAUAAACAGGCGUAAAGGGUUUGUAGGCGGUUUCCAUAAGACUAUGAAUAAACAAAUAAAGUAGUCUAAUUGGAAGCUAGAAUCAAAAAGAGGUUAUAGUGUAUAACGCUUAGAGGAGGGCUGAUCUCUUUCGAUCCUAAGCAGAAUGCUAAGGGCGAAGGCCACUUUCCAUUAAUGAUUGACGCUGAGAAACGAAGGUUAGGGGAAGAAAUAGGAUUAGAUACCCCGGUACUCCUUUCUGUAAACGAUGAAUGGUAGUCAUUAGUUUAAGUUAAACUAGAGGCGAAGUUAACACGAUAACCAUUCCGCCUUGUGAGUACUACUGCAAAGUAGAAAACAAAAAAAU